rnacentral:rRNA from 1 species
AUUGAACGCUGGCGGCAUGCUUUACACAUGCAAGUCGAACGGCAGCGCGUGCUUCGGCCUGGCGGCGAGUGGCGAACGGGUGAGUAAUGCAUCGGAACGUGCCCAGUAGUGGGGGAUAGCCCGGCGAAAGCCGGAUUAAUACCGCAUACGACCUGAGGGUGAAAGCGGGGGACCGAAAGGCCUCGCGCUAUUGGAGCGGCCGAUGUCGGAUUAGCUAGUUGGUGGGGUAAAGGCUUACCAAGGCGACGAUCCGUAGCUGGUCUGAGAGGACGACCAGCCACACUGGGACUGAGACACGGCCCAGACUCCUACGGGAGGCAGCAGUGGGGAAUUUUGGACAAUGGGGGCAACCCUGAUCCAGCCAUGCCGCGUGCGGGAAGAAGGCCUUCGGGUUGUAAACCGCUUUUGUUCGGGAAGAAAUCCUCUGGGCUAAUACCCCGGGGGGAUGACGGUACCGGAAGAAUAAGCACCGGCUAACUACGUG